rnacentral:lncRNA from 1 species
GCAAAACAGCAGCUCUGAGAGAUGUUUACUAAUUGUUCUGCAUUUGUUACAUGAUGUAGUAGGAAAAGCACUGCAUUUGGAGCCAUAAACACAAGAUUCUUGUUUCUGUCUGCCUGCUAGCUAGCUUUAGUGUAUGAAGAAAAUUUCUUUACCCACCUGGACCUCAAUUCGCUUACUUGUAGAAUGUGGGUGUAGGAUUUGAGGAUAUCUGAAAUUACUUCCACCAUCUGCCAUGUGGAUCAGGACAUCACUGCUGUCUCAAAACCUUACAAUAUUCAUCUAGAAGAAGGCUGUGUCAUCUAGUUUCUUCAGUGACAUGUGCGACCUUGACUUUUAAUUAUUCAAGAGUGGCAAGUAUGGAACCUAAAGUGGAUUGUUGACACAAGAUGCCUGGAAAUAAGGAGGAGGUUCCAUAUGAAUAUAACUUCUUGCCUAAGUUGGUUUAGGUAAGAAGACUCUUCAUGUGCCUGUUUCCUUCAAAUUUUAAGGAGAGCUCUUGCAUGGUGGUAGAACCGAGGACAGCCUAGACCUUCUGAUUGUCAACUCCUUGUUCCAUUGUGUCCAAACCUACAUGUCUGAACUCCUCUCAUCAAAGACUUCUCAAAGUUAUUAAUAACUGGGGAUCACGUAUUCAGUAAUUACACACAUCAGGCUCCAUGCUUUCUGUGCAGUAUGUAAAUUGAUUCAUUGUCAUACUAAUUAUAAAUGGCUAGUAUUAUUGCUGCUUUACAAAUGAGGCAUAUGACACACAGGGAGCUAAAUAAUUUGCCUAAGGUCACCCCACUUGUAAAUGAUGAAGCCAGGACUCAAGGCCAGGUCUGGCCACCCCUGAAUUUAAUAGCUUUAUCCUCUAUAUCUCUGUUUUCUCCCAGACCAAGGUGUCUGUACCUCUCUGCCAACAGAGAAAAGGGUUCAUUCAUUCAUCAAAUGUUUGUUGAGCAUCUAUUGUGACUCAGGCAAUAUCCUAGAUCAAGGAUUGUCAAACUUUUUCUAUAAAGGACAAGAGAGCAAACAUUUUAGGUCUCCUGGGUCAUACGGUCAGUCACUGUGAUUCAACUCUGCUGUUGUAGUACAAGAUUGUGAAAGCAGCCAUAGAUGAUAUGUCAAUGAAUGAGCAUGGUUGUGUUCCAAUAAAAUGUCACUUGCGAAAGCAGGCUGUGGGCUGGGUUUGGGCCAAGAGUUCUAUCCCUGCUCUAGGCACUGGAGUUACAAUAGCAAAAAAUUAAAAUAAAGUAAAAUAAAAACACAAAAAUGCCUGCCUUUGUGGUGCUUCCAUUCCAGAAUGGGGAAGUAAUUGUAUUUCUGUCCCGUUUAUCAUGUAAAAAUUGUCAUAGGAUCUUGGAGUUGCUGAGCACCUAGAGGUGAUCUGUUCAGCAUUUUCCUCCCAGGGCAGCUCUCCACUCAGAACUCUCUUGGCUGGUGAGGGUUCAUUCUGUGUGCCCGGAUCUAGUGUCACCUCACCUUCCAGGGGACCCAUCCUUGUCACAUAGUCCUUGCUUAUCUGUCUUCCUGACAAUUUAACUCACAUCCUACCCUGUUUGGGCAGAGGGCCCCACAUUUUAGCAUAUCAUAAUCACUUUUGGGGCUUGAAACACUUUGAUGGGCUCCACUCUCGAGAUUCUGAUUCAAUAGGUCUGGAGUGAGGCCCAAGAUUUUCCCUUUCUGACAAAUUCCCAGGUAAUUCC